rnacentral:rRNA from 1 species
AGAGGUUUGAGUCCUGCGUCCAGGAUGAACGGCUGGCGGCACGCUUAACACAUGCAAGUCGAGCGAGAGAGUUUUGCGGAAAGGCUUCGGCCUGGAAGGGAAAUGAUCUAGCGGCGGACGGGUGAGUAACACGUGGGUAACCUACCCUAGUACAGGGGGAUAACGUAUAGAAAUGUACGCUAAUACCGCAUAAGCCUACAGGUUCGCAUGAACUAGUAGGAAAAGCCGAGACGGUAUAGGAUGGGCCCGCGACUGAUUAGCUAGUUGGGGAGGUAAAGGCUUACCAAGGCAACGAUCAGUAGCCGGUCUGAGAGGAUGGACGGCCACAUUGGGACUGAGACACGGCCCAGACUCCUACGGGAGGCAGCAGUGGGGAAUAUUGCACAAUGGGGGGAACCCUGAUGCAGCGAUGCCGCGUGAAGGAAGAAGAUUUUCGGAUCGUAAACUUCUAUCAGCAAGGAAGAAGAAGGACAGUACUUGACUAAGCAGCCCCGGCUAACUACAUG